rnacentral:rRNA from 1 species
UACGAAGGGGGGCUAGCGUUGCUCGGAAUCACUGGGCGUAAAGGGUGCGUAGGCGGGUCUUUUAAGUCAGGGGUGAAAUCCUGGAGCUCAACUCCAGAACUGCCUUUGAUACUGAGGAUCUUGAGUUCGGGAGAGGUGAGUGGAACUGGCGAGUGUAGAGGUGAAAUUCGUAGAUAUCAGGAAGAACACCAACGGCGAAGGCAGCUCGCUGGGACGGAAACUGACGCUAAGGCGCGAAAAGCGUGGGGAGCAAACAGG